rnacentral:lncRNA from 1 species
CUGUUGCUUUACUCUGAUUUUGAUGAGGAUUUUGAUUUUAUUUUGAAUUUUUCACAAUUUCUCGACCUAGAUCUAGCAGUCUUUGUGUUUUCUGUUCACUUGUUAUUUAGUUGCUAAAAGUAAAGCAACAAACAAAUAUGAAUUCAAUUUCAUUUAAAAAAUUAGUUUUCAAAAUUUGGCCUUGUGCCUUUGUUCAAGUUCCCCUCAAAAGGAGCUAUGGUAAGUCGUUGAUUAAUAUAAUUAUUAAUACUAAAUUGAAAAUGAAUUAAAUAUUCACAUAUUUUAGGUUGUGGCACGCUGAACUGCUUCAUGCCUGGUCCCAUGAUGCCGUUGUCCGUUGCCUCUGUUUCGUAUUGUCGUUGUGUCCCUCAGUCUUGUAUUGUCGUUGUGUCCCAGACUUACGGCGUUGUGCUCCACAAGACCUCUUCUGAAGGCCGCGACGCCCUUGGCCACAUCGAGCUUAUCCGAUUCCUGCAGAACAAAGCGACACAGCCACAGGAAGCACAAUUACGAACACAUUACACAAAUUUUGAAUAAAACAAACAUUUAGAGCACUAAAAUUUAGUAAUGUUUACCC